ensembl:lncRNA
CUGCAUGCUAAACAAACCACCACACGCUCGGCCUCUUGGUGUCAGCUCAUUCAUCUCACUGUGGCUCAGCUUAACUUUCUGUUAGAAACUACUUUUCAGUAGCCACCUGAUGAGCGUAUCCAAGUCUCUCUUAUCUUCCUGAAAGCAUCUUUCGGUUUUUAGCUUCUUGCCUUAUAACUUUAGUGGGAUUGAAUUCUGCAGCACAUUGAGACUCAGAGUGGAGCUGGAAUUUCAUCUUCUUGUCUGAGAAUUAACACAAGUCCAGAGAGUGAACUGCUGACUACUGUUCACCUCCUGAAACUUCAAAAAGAAAUGUUUGUUGAGCUUCAAUCAAUUACAUAUACACAAGGUUAUUCUCUGAACCAGCAGCAGUCCAGAUUCUGAAACACAGAAAAGACAACACUGUGGCACCUGAUAGAAUGGGGAUCUGGCAUUUGUUCAUAUGGCAUCAGUUCUAGAGAGUCUGAG